rfam:Zootermopsis nevadensis contig24198, whole genome shotgun sequence.
GCCACGGUGGUCUAGCGGUUAGAACGCUGGCCUUGUAAUCCUGGGGUCUCGGGUUCGAUUCCCGACGGUGCCC